rnacentral:lncRNA from 1 species
GAGGGAAACUUAGCUGAGUUUAGCCCUUCUUUUCCUCUCCUUCUUUUUCCCCUCCUCUUCUUCCCCUCCUCCUCUCCCUCAUCUUCACCUCCUCCUCUCCUUCCACUCCUCCUGCUCCUCUCCUUCUUCUUCCCUCCUUCUCCGCUCCUCCUUCAUCUUCCCUUCCUCCUCUCCCCCUUCCCCUCCUCUCCUUCUCUUCCCCUCCUCCUGCCCUUUCCCUCCUCCUGCUCCUCUCUGUCUUCUUUCCUCCUCCUCUCCUCCUUUCCCUUCCCCUCCCCCUCCUCCUCCCCUUUCUCUUCCUCUCCUCCUCCUCUCCUCCUCUCCUUUGUGUUCCCAUCUUCCUCCUCUCCUUUUCCUUCCCCUUCUCCUCUCCUUCCCCUCCUCCUCCUUCCCCUUCUCCUCCUCUCCUUCUUCCCUUUCUCCUUCUCCUCCUCCUCCUUCAUCUUCCCUUCCUCCUCUCCCCCUUCCCCUCCUCCUCCUCUCCUUCUCUUCCCCUCCUCCUGCCCUUUCCCUCCUCCUGCUCCUCUCUGUCUUCUUUCCUCCUCCUCUCCUCCUUUCCCUUCCCCUCCCCCCUCCUCCUCCCCUUUCUCUUCCUCUCCUCCUCCUCUCCUCCUCUCCUUUGUGUUCCCAUCUUCCUCCUCUCCUUUUCCUUCCCCUUCUCCUCUCCUUCCCCUCCUCCUCCUUCCCCUUCUCCUCCUCUCCUUCUUCCCUUUCUCCUUCUCCUCCUCCUCCUCCACCUUCCUCUUCUCAUCCUCCUCCUUCCAUUCUGCUUCCCACUCCUUCCCCUCCUCCUUCCAUUCCCUCUUCCAUACUCCCUCUCUCCUCCUUCUACCCUCCCUCCCCUUCUCCUCCUCCCCUUCCCCUUCCCUUUCCCUCUUCUCCCUUCCCCUCCUCCUCCUCCUCUCCUUCCCCUUCCCCUCCUCCUUCCUUGUCUCCUUCUUCUCCUCCCAUUCUGACUCCCACUCCUCCUCCUUCCAUUCAUUUCCCCUUGUCCUCCAGCCCUUCCUUGUCCUCCCCCUGUCCCCUUCCCCUCCCCCUGUCCCCUUCCCCUCCCUCUUCUCCUUCCCCCUCCUCCUCUUCAAAAUGAACCACUGGCUCAAGGAUUGGUGCCCUUCCCCCGCAAGUGAAGUUUGA